rnacentral:rRNA from 1 species
GUUAAGCGACUAAGCGUACACGGUGGAUGCCCUGGCAGUCAGAGGCGAUGAAGGACGUGCUAAUCUGCGAUAAGCGUCGGUAAGGUGAUAUGAACCGUUAUAACCGGCGAUUUCCGAAUGGGGAAACCCAGUGUGUUUCGACACACUAUCAUUAACUGAAUCCAUAGGUUAAUGAGGCGAACCGGGGGAACUGAAACAUCUAAGUACCCCGAGGAAAAGAAAUCAACCGAGAUUCCCCCAGUAGCGGCGAGCGAACGGGGAGCAGCCCAGAGCCUGAAUCAGUGUGUGUGUUAGUGGAAGCGUCUGGAAAGGCGCGCGAUACAGGGUGACAGCCCCGUACACAAAAAUGCACAUGCUGUGAGCUCGAUGAGUAGGGCGGGACACGUGGUAUCCUGUCUGAAUAUGGGGGGACCAUCCUCCAAGGCUAAAUACUCCUGACUGACCGAUAGUGAACCAGUACCGUGAGGGAAAGGCGAAAAGAACCCCGGCGAGGGGAGUGAAAAAGAACCUGAAACCGUGUACGUACAAGCAGUGGGAGCACAGAGCAAUCUGUGUGACUGCGUACCUUUUGUAUAAUGGGUCAGCGACUUAUAUUCUGUAGCAAGGUUAACCGAAUAGGGGAGCCGAAGGGAAACCGAGUCUUAACUGGGC